GGGGGCGACCUGGCUUCGACGGGGGUCGCGAAGCAGAGUAGGGCAUACCGAGGGUCAGAGUACCUCGUAAAUCCAGCUGAAAAUCGUUUAAACGCAAACGACGAAACUUACGCUCUAGCCGCUUAAUUGCGCUAGACCCUACACCAGCCAGCAUACGGGUUGGGCCGGGCUGCGUGGUUGUUAGUGCGCAAGCGCUUUACAACCCACGGCGUCCCCUUUACGGGGGCAACCGGCAGUAGGGUAAUCUCAGUAUGAUCGUGGCUGUCCGGGUGGCUUGGGCAGACAUUAAAUCAAGGCCACUCGCCAAAGUUCAGCCUGUUCG
rnacentral:tmRNA from 1 species